rnacentral:rRNA from 1 species
GGGUCAUUAGGUUGGUCGUGCCACCGGUACGUACUGGUCUCACUGAUUCCUACUUCCUGAAGAACCGUAAUGCCAUUAAUUUGGUGUUGCUGGGAAACAGGACUGUUACUUUGAAAAAAUUAGAGUGUUUAAAGCAAGCUAACGUUUGAAUACAUUAGCAUGGAAUAAUGAAAUAGGACGAUCGAUCCUAUUUUGUUGGUUUCUAGGAUUGACGUA